rnacentral:piRNA from 1 species
UAUGACCGCAGUCUCUUUUUU